GUAAACGAUGAGCACUAGGUGUCGGGGUCGCAAGACUUCGGUGCCGCAGUUAACGCAUUAAGUGCUCCGCCUGGGGAGUACGUUCGCAAGAAUGAAACUCAAAGGAAUUGACGGGGACCCGCACAAGCGGCGGAGCAUGUGGUUUAAUUCGAAGCAACGCGAAGAACCUUACCAGGACUUGACAUCCUUCUGACAGGACCUUAAUCGGUCCCUCCUUCGGGCAGAAGAGACAGGUGGUGCAUGGUUGUCGUCAGCUCGUGUCGUGAGAUGUUGGGUUAAGUCCCGCAACGAGCGCAACCCUUGUCAUUAGUUGCCAUCAUUUAGUUGGGCACUCUAGUGAGACUGCCGGGGAUAACUCGGAGGAAGGUGGGGAUGACGUCAAAUCAUCAUGCCCCUUAUGUUCUGGGCUACACACGUGCUACAAUGGCCGGUACAAAGAGAUGCAAGACCGCGAGGUGGAGCAAAUCUUCAAAACCGGUCCCAGUUCGGAU
rnacentral:rRNA from 1 species